UGCAACGCUAUCUAGUGUAAGAACAAUGAAUCAUAUCUUACAAACUAAAUAAACACGAGUUUCCUGUCACAAAAUAUAUAUUCUAAAAACAUAAUUAUACAGAAUAGUCAAACUAGGAUUGUCAGGAUACAUACAGUCUCCAGGAAGUAAAAAAAGGAUUCACCAAAUAAGCCAGUAUUGUCAUUGUCUUUCGAUCGGAUGUCAAAGAACCGAUGUUCUGGAUCGUAUAGAAUGUCUACAGAGAAGGGGACAUACGUGGAAAGUAUGGGUAACGAGCCAUUCACCGGAUAAGUGCAUUUACAAUGAUAUACCUGUAUGGUCAGCGUAUACAAUUUAGUCAAUUCGUAACUAUAACUUUCUCUAAUACUAAUCUACAAUUAAAGUGAAACGAUAUGAUGCAUAUUAUAUAUAUAUAUAUAAAAAAAAAUUUUUGUUUAAAUUUAAUAUUCUGAUCUCAAAUAUACUUAGUAUUUUAUUUGCUAUGAGCCAAUAAGUAGGCUUGCAUAAUUAAAUAAUAAUAACAUUAAGAAAUUCCUAUUACAUAAAU
rnacentral:lncRNA from 1 species